rnacentral:rRNA from 1 species
GCAGCGAAAUGCGAUAAGUAAUGUGAAUUGCAGAAUUCAGUGAAUCAUCGAAUCUUUGAACGCAUCUUGCGCUCCUUGGUAUUCCGAGGAGCAUGCCUGUUUGAGUGUCAUUA